GGCACAGUAGCAAAGUGGUUACUGCGUGUGACUCGAACUCCUCUGAUGAAAAAUCAUCACCGGUAGUCAUCACAUCUCUUCGGAGGCGUCCGUUCGAAUCGGGCCUGUGUCG